AAAAUAUAUAUGCCUUGUUUCCUAUUUUCCCUUGUUGUGGCCGAAAUAUUGAGAGGAAAAAGGGAGAAAAAUAUUUCAUCUUCUUCGUCCAUUAAAGCUUGCUUCCAUAGCCAAAGUUUCUUCACAACUCGCCAAAUAUUCGAAGAACCAAAAGAAGUAGAAGAGUGAGCAUCUAAAGGAAAUCAGUGAGAUUUCAAGAAGAUAAGGUGAUGGUGUAGUCUAAGCCGUGAGCGCGAUUAGAGAUAGCUCGGUGUCAAGACCAGCUUAGACUAGUUUGUGUUUAGAUUUCCCUUUUGGGCCUAUGUGCCUAGUAUGAUGUUGAACUUGGAUUAGUUUCGUUAUGAUGCUUGGAUUGGGUUUAGUUUUGGUUGGCCUGAACAUCUAGGCUGUGUUUUCUUACCUAGAUGUGGCAUGACACCCCUUAGGUUAUAAAUCGCUUCCGCUAUAUUUGUGAAAGUUUGGGGUGUCACAAUAAUGCUAUAUAUUUAUUUACCAAGUAUUUUAUUAAUACUAUGAAAAAAAAAUUUUAAAAUAAUUUGAAGCUAA